UGUAGAUAAUAGCAGCACAGACUCACAGUCGUAGGUCAUAAAGCACAUUGUAGAUAAUAGCAGCACAGACUCACAGUUGUAGGUCAUAAAGCACAUUGUAGAUAAUAGCAGCACAGACUCACAGUACUAGGUCAUAAAGCACAUUGUAGAUAAUAGCAGCACAGUCUCACAGUAAUAGGUCAUAAAGCACAUUGUAGAUAAUAGCAGCACAGACUCACAGUCGUAGGUCAUAAAGCACAUUGUAGAUAAUAGCAGCACAGACUCACAGUCGUAGGUCAUAAAGCACAUUGUAGAUAAUAGCAGCACAGACUCACAGUACUAGGUCAUAAAGCACAUUGUAGAUAAUAGCAGCACAGUCUCACAGUAAUAGGUCAUAAAGCACAUUGUAGAUAAUAGCAGCACAGACUCACAGUCGUAGGUCAUAAAGCACAUUGUAGAUAAUAGCAGCACAGACUCACAGUACUAGGUCAUAAAGCACAUUGUAGAUAAUAGCAGCACAGACUCACAGUAAUAGGUCAUAAAGCACAUUGUAGAUAAUAGCAGCACAGACUCACAGUACUAGGUCAUAAAGCACAUUGUAGAUAAUAGCAGCACAGACUCACAGUAAUAGGUCAUAAAGCACAUUGUAGAUAAUAGCAGCACAGACUCACAGUAAUAGGUCAUAAAGCACAUUUUAGAUAAUAGCAGCACAGACUCACAGUAAUAGGUCAUAAAGCACAUUUUAGAUAAUAGCAGCACAGACUUACAGUAAUAGGUCAUAAAGCACAUUGUAGAUAAUAGCAGCACAGACUCACAGUAAUAGGUCAUAAAGCACAUUGUAGAUAAUAGCAGCACAGACUCACAGUAAUAGGUCAUAAAGCACAUUUUAGAUAAUAGCAGCACAGACUCACAGUAAUAGGUCAUAAAGCACAUUUUAGAUAAUAGCAGCACAGACUCACAGUAAUAGGUCAUAAAGCACAUUGUAGAUAAUAGCAGCACAGACUCACAGUAAUAGGUCAUAAAGCACAUUGUAGAUAAUAGCAGCACAGACUCACAGUAAUAGGUCAUAAAGCACAUUGUAGAUAAUAGCAGCACAGUCUCACAGUAAUAGGUCAUAAAGCACAUUGUAGAUAAUAGCAGCACAGACUCACAGUAAUAGGUCAUAAAGCACAUUGUAGAUAAUAGCAGCACAGACUCACAGUAAUAGGUCAUAAAGCACAUUGUAGAUAAUAGCAGCACAGACUCACAGUCGUAGGUCAUAAAGCACAUUGUAGAUAAUAGCAGCACAGACUCACAGUAAUAGGUCAUAAAGCACAUUGUAGAUAAUAGCAGCACAGUCUCACAGUAAUAGGUCAUAAAGCACAUUGUAGA